GGGUACCAGUAGCCGAUGCCGAACUGACGGCAGGGGCAGAGACUCUGGAGAAGUUGCAGACGCUUCGUGUUAGGGAAGUUGCAUUGCUACAACAGAUUUUUAAGCAACAGAGCAAUCCAGCCAAGUUUAUAUUUUAGAGAGAGAACAUCUUCCAUGUGGAGGAUCAGUUGAAAUAGAAGAGAUUGUUAGAAUUGUAGGGCGGUAGUAUUCCAGGCAGGAGAUGACGAAUGCCAGACACCACCUAGUCACAGACAUAGCUUUUGCAGAGAUCAGCUACAUGUUGUUGUUUUUUAUUUACUCUCUCAUAUAAUUUUUUUUAAGUCCUGGACCACAAAAUACUGUGGCAUCGUUGGAAAAAUCUGAGACUCGAUUCUAGUCUUUUUUCUGUUUGCCUGCUCUGCAGCUUGGGCUUACGUUCUCAAGCCUUACUUUUUCAUUGUGAAAUAAGAACGGUGCUACUUAACCCGAGAACUCCCCAGGCACAUAGACCCGUGGCGUGUGAGGAGCAGUGAAGGAGAGAAGGAAUGGAAGUGCUUUGGGGACCCCAAGAGCCCUUCAGAAACCGUUUGUUCUUUUUAAUAUUGAGCAUUAAAAGUGAAGGCAUUCCAUUUGUUUCACUCAAAAACAAAUUCUGUUCUUCUGAUAGCCUGUUUUUUUUUUCCACUCCCUUUUUCUAUAGUCAGAUCAGUUCCUGAUGGGCAUUCUCCAGUCCACACUAUUGCAUCUGAUUGGAGGCUAUGCAAAAUUUCCCAGAGACAAUGAAUUUUGACGACAGACUUCUUGGUGUCCACUGUACCCAUGGUUUCAACAGGACUGGCUACCUCAUGUGCAGAGCACGGGCUCCAGACGCGCAGGCUCAGUAGUUGUGGCUCACGGACCCAGUCGCUCCGGGGCAUGUGCGAUCUUCCCAGACCAGAGCUCGAAUCCGUGUCCCGUGCAUUGGCAGGCAGAUUCUCAACACUGCGCCACCAGGGAAACUCCGGAAUAAAGCCUUUUUGUAGUCAUGAUAUUUGAUUGAUGUAGAAGGCAUGUGGCCAGAUGAUGCAAUUGAAUACUGGUGUUUUAUCUUUACAAGUUCUCCGUCAUUCCAUAAGAAAGCUGCUCGUCUUCUGGUUUCAUAAGAGAUGGUGAACAGUGGUAAAAUAUCCAGUUGACCGAAAUUUCUAGAGUACACUUCAGGGAGCGAGUGAUGGGGUGGAAUGUUGGGGCAGAGUGAGAGAUACAGAUUCUGGUGAGACUGAGAGUCAUGCACAAAAAUUACUGGGCUGUGGUGAAGGGAGAACAAAACUAAAUCAGGUUCCUGCUGGUGGACAGGAAGCCAAGAUGAAGAAGAAUGGUGCGUAGCUGGGCAGUGUAAUUAGGCCCCUAAGUGCUGUGUCUCCUGAUAGUAAUUAUGAACAGAAACCAAAUAAUAGUUACUAAUAACAUGGAGGUGACCAAUCCUUGAGAGCUGAGGCAGAGAGAAGGAAAGAUGGCAUUAUGCCUUGUCUCUGGUGCCUUGAGUUUCCCAGGCUGGUUUGUGACCAAUCUUGGGUGAAAUCAUAACUAAGUCAUUUCUGCUAAGGUGAUCAGCUUUCGUGGGGUCCUUUCUCUGCACUCUGUCCAAUGGUAAAGCCCACUGGUUUAUGCCUCCUGGAAAACAGUUAUUCCAAAGCAGUAUAAGUGAAGCAUUGAUGAAACAGCCAUGAAGAGCAUGUUUCCACAUGGCCUCGCACCACCUUUUCAAAGUGCUGUAAAACUUUUUUCAUCCAAAAAUCAGUAACAGAAAAGGAUUGGGAUCAAAUCCCGUACAGAGGUAGUGUAAGAAAAAAGAGAAUAAGGAGCAGAAUAGCAUGUCUUCAGACAAUAAAAUCAAGUUGGAAAAGACAGGUCCACAAAACAGAUCAAAACUGUAACCUAUUAUUUCAAAGUGGGCUAAAAGAUGUUAGGAAAAACAAUGCGAAAGAUGAAAGAACAUGGAUCGAGGAGGGAAUGGGAAGUUAUUGUUUAGUGGCUAUAGAGUCUCUGUUUGGGAUGGUGGAAAAGUUCUGGAAAUGGUAAAUGCUGAUAAAUGCCACCUAUGGGUGUUUGGUUUUAGUUGAUCUUCUUCCAUGAAAGGGUUUGGAGAGAUUCAGAAGCUAUGCUGCUGCCUCCAUCUUUCUGAUGUCCUGCUCAAUCUUUUGACAUAAUUAUUUUGAAUUUGCACAGUGGUGAUGGUUGCACAGCAUUGUGAAUGUAUUUAAUGUCACUGAAUUGUAUACUUGAAAAUGGUUGAAAUAAUAAAUUUUGUUUUAUGUA